GACGAACGCUGGCGGCGUGCCUAAUACAUGCAAGUAGAACGCUGAAGGAGGAGCUUGCUUCUCUGGAUGAGUUGCGAACGGGUGAGUAACGCGUAGGUAACCUGCCUGGUAGCGGGGGAUAACUAUUGGAAACGAUAGCUAAUACCGCAUAAGAGUAGAUGUUGCAUGACAUUUGCUUAAAAGGUGCAAUUGCAUCACUACCAGAUGGACCUGCGUUGUAUUAGCUAGUUGGUGGGGUAACGGCUCACCAAGGCGACGAUACAUAGCCGACCUGAGAGGGUGAUCGGCCACACUGGGACUGAGACACGGCCCAGACUCCUACGGGAGGCAGCAGUAGGGAAUCUUCGGCAAUGGACGGAAGUCUGACCGAGCAACGCCGCGUGAGUGAAGAAGGUUUUCGGAUCGUAAAGCUCUGUUGUAAGAGAAGAACGAGUGUGAGAGUGGAAAGUUCACAGAC
rnacentral:rRNA from 1 species